rnacentral:rRNA from 1 species
AUACGGAGGGUGCGAGCGUUAAUCGGAAUUACUGGGCGUAAAGCGUACGUAGGCGGUUGGUUAAGUUAGAUGUGAAAGCCCCAGGCUUAACCUGGGAACUGCAUUUAAAACUGGCGAACUAGAGUUGAGUAGAGGGGAGUGGAAUUUCAGGUGUAGCGGUGAAAUGCGUAGAGAUCUGAAGGAACACCAGUGGCGAAGGCGACUCCCUGGACUCGAACUGACGCUGAGGUACGAAAGCGUGGGUAGCAAACGGGAUUAGAAACCCUUGUAGUCC